GUGGGGAAUUUUGGACAAUGGGCGCAAGCCUGAUCCAGCAAUGCCGCGUGCAGGAAGAAGGCCUUCGGGUUGUAAACUGCUUUUGUACGGAACGAAACGGUCCUGGUUAAUACCUGGGGCUAAUGACGGUACCGUAAGAAUAAGCACCGGCUAACUACGUGCCAGCAGCCGCGGUAAUACGUAGGGUGCGAGCGUUAAUCGGAAUUACUGGGCGUAAAGCGUGCGCAGGCGGUGCUGUAAGACAGGCGUGAAAUCCCCGGGCUAAACCUGGGAAUUGCGCUUGUGACUGCAGUGCUGGAGUACGGCAGAGGGGGAUGGAAUUCCGCGUGUAGCAGUGAAAUGCGUAGAUAUGCGGAGGAACACCGAUGGCGAAGGCAGUCCCCUGGGCCUGUACUGACGCUCAUGCACGAAAGCGUGGGGAGCAAACAGGAUUAGAUACCCGAGUAGUCC
rnacentral:rRNA from 1 species